UUCCCCAAAGUCAUGGCAGUAAUCGACCAUCAACAACUCAUUCAGUUCGAUUGAAAACGAAUGACUGGCCCUAGUAGGCCAGCUGCCGACUGAUGUUUGUUUUCAUUAAUUUUCGCAAAAACAAGGACAAACCGGAUAAGAAAACAGUCCAUAUAAGAAGCUGGGAAGCGGAAUCUAAACGAGUGUUUUUUCGGCAACAGAUACGCGAAAUACUUUUGGUGGCGUACGAAUUGUGUUAAGAGUACCUUGUGCGAAAAUCAAUAAAGCUGUCAGGAAUUGAAGAUCGCCAAGCAGAAAUGGAAAAAAAGUGGAAUGAAAAGGUCAAAGAUUAAAUUUGCACGGACCUUAUUGUCUCCUUGCUGGAUGUGUUUGAACGGUAAAUUUCUUCCUGAACCGCAUUCAUCACAUGACGGGCAGCUGGACCGCCGUGACUAUUACGGAAGAGUCGAUUCGAACGAGAACCCAGGCCAAGAGGAGGAAGAUAAACAGCAUACUUUGGUUUUCUUAGCAGUAGUGUUUGGAUCACAAAAUGCAUGAGUUUUAGUACGACUAUUUAUUUACAUGGUUUGAGUACGAAUAAAAGUAAACAUGACACGAAUGAAA